AUUGAACGCUGGCGGCAGGCCUAACACAUGCAAGUCGAACGAGUGGCGGACGGGUGAGUAAUGUCUGGGAAACUGCCUGAUGGAGGGGGAUAACUACUGGAAACGGUAGCUAAUACCGCAUACCAUCGGAGGUGCCCAGAUGGGAUUAGCUUGUUGGUGGGGUAACGGCUCAACAAGGCGACGAUCCCUAGCUGGUCUGAGAGGAUGACCAGCCACACUUGAACUUAGACAUGGUCCAGACUCCUACGGGAGGCAGCAGUGGGGAAUAUUGCACAAUGGGCGCAAUCCUGAUGCAGCCAUGCCGCGUGUAUGUAGAAGGCCUUCGGGUUGUAAAGCACUUUCAGCGUGGAGGCGUUACCCGCAGAAGAAGCACCGGCUAACUCCGUGCCAGCCGCCGCGGUAAUUC
rnacentral:rRNA from 1 species